rnacentral:rRNA from 1 species
CAAUACGGCAGCGGCAGACGGGAUAGUAACACGUGGGAACGCGCCCUUCGGUUCGGAAUAACUCAGGGAAACUUGAGCUAAUACCGGAUACGCCCUAACGGGGAAAGAUUUAUUGCCGAAGGAACGGCCCGCGUCCGAUUAGCUAGUUGGUGAGGUAAUGGCUCACCAAGGCGACGAUCGGUAGCUGGUCUGAGAGGAUGACCAGCAUCACUGGGACUGAGACACGGCCCAG